rfam:Gossypium hirsutum cultivar TM-1 chromosome 10, whole genome shotgun sequence
UGUUCAAAUACCAUCUAUUUAUACUGUUAAAAAUUGAUGUAGCUAUUGAAAUAGCUAGAUAAUUAUAUGUGGUGUACCACGCGUACCUCAUGCUAAUGCAUAGGGACUAAUUUUUAAUAGUAAAAAUAGAUGACUUUUUUAAAA